rnacentral:lncRNA from 1 species
UAAAAGACCCAAUUCAAUUACACCCUUAUCUCUACACACACGACAGCAGUUUCAGUUUUCUUGUACAUCUCAUCGCCUUCUUCUUCCUGCAAACUCGUCCCUCUCAUGAACACAAGCCAAUCUUCAAUCAGUCCCCGAGUCUUUUAGCAUGUUUACAGGCAGUGAGGAAGGCUUCGACAAUUGCAAUUGGGUAAGUGCUUUACAUUUUUUUGGUCUUCGAUUUAUUGCUGCUUCUGCUUCUAUUCGAACCAAGUGAAGAGAGUCACUGGUAGCAAGAUCUUGCGCGAUAUCAAGGCUCAUGGAAUGGCUAAUUUUGGCUACCUCCUAGUUAAUUUAGUUUUUUCAUAUCAAUUAGCUAUGAUUUAAUUUUACUGUGGUUUCCUGAUGAUAAUGAAUUAUGUAUGGAUUUUGUGUGGAUUUAAUUGGGUUUCUGAUGAUAAUGACUAGCGUGUGAACUUCUGGCAUUUUUUCUAUAAGAAGCUAUUACUUGUCAGUUUCUUGCACUUCUCAUCGCCUUCUUCUACCUGCAAACUCGCCCCUCUCACGAACAAAAGCUAAUCUUCAAUCAUUCCCGCAGUCGUUUAGCACGCUCACAGACAGUGAGGAAGGCUUCGACAGUUGCAAUUGGGUAAGUACUUUACAUUUUUUUGGUCUUCGAUUUAUUGCUAGUUCUACUUUUAUUCGAACCAAGUGAAGAGUGUCACUGGUAGCAAGACUUUUUGCGUACUCAAGGCUCAUGGAAUGGUUGAUUUUGGCUACCUACUAGUUAAUUUAGUUUUUUCAUAACAGAUAGCUGUGAUUUAAUUUUCCUGUGGUUUCUUGAUGAUAAUGAGUUGUGUAUGGAUUUUGUGUGGAUUUAAUUGGGUUUCUGAUGAUAACGACUAGUGUGUGAAUUUUUGGCAUUUUUUCCUAUAAGAAGCUGUUGCCAGAGGAGUUAUAUCCUUUUCUCAAGAAAGCUAUUGCCAUUAUGCAGCACUUGGAGAGGAACAGGUAGGACAAAGACUCCAAAUUUAGGUUGAACGUCCUGUGCGUGAAAGGAAAUCUGUAGAAAGACUGGUUGCCAUUAUUGAGAAGGAUGGGUAUAAGGAAUUCCAAAUUGAAAAGGUGUAACAUUUUAAUUUAUUUCCAUCUUGUUAUUUUAACCCUUAAGAGGAGUUAGUUUCUACCGUCAGCACAUUGUAUGAGUUUUAAUGAACUUUUCAUAGAAGAUUUAUUUUUUGACAUAAUAGUAGGGCUGUGGAACUAAACUGAAGGAGAUCCUUACUGGUACUCAUUUUAACUGAACUCCACUUUAUGCAUAAGCGCAUUCACUAAGAGUGUGAAGGUUAUCAUAGCAGGUACCUUUAGAAAGCACAAUGACCACUGGCAUCAUCUAUUUUUCCUCAAAUUCCUGUUUAAUGAUGCUACGGAAUUGCUUGUGUUAUUAUGAAUGAAUCACUUUCUCCCAUAGAAGUGCGUUGAAUGAAUCUCAAUUGGUUAGGUUGAAUUAACUGCAUUCUUCCAUCCCUUAGGUGAGGGAUUUCAUGGUUUUCUGAAGGAGGUUUCUUCGUUUUCCAGCCAUAUUUUAAGAUUCAGGUUCUUCAUUUUCCAGCACUAUUUAUUUGUAAUUCACUCCACUCGGUGGUACGGAAUCCCUCAUAUAAAGUAUUCAUGGUGCUGGUAUAUUAUCUUUGUUAGCUAGGGUGAUUUAAAGGAAUAUAUUAAAUGGUAGACUAUGCAUGAACAAAAUUAACAANU